AUUACCACCCACCAGGUCCCUCCCACAACAUGUGGAUUUGCGUGUGAACACAGACAAGCCAUAUCGCCAUUUAAUCUGUGGAAUGAUUCUGUGAGAUAUGGAACCUGGGGACCAGUGGGGCAAAGAAGAAUUAACAGCACCUACGUAGCUCUGAUUAUGUCAAGCACUUCGUCUAAAUGUUUGCACAGAUGAACUAAUUUAAGCCCCAGAACAACUCCGUGAGUAACCUUAACAUCUGGACGCAGACAGCCCCAGCAAUCCUGGAAGAAACCUUGGAAAUAUGCGGGUCAUCUUCUAUGAAGUCCACAGCAGCCCUGAGAAACCAAUACAGCAUUCCAAUCUUUAAAAGAAGGUACAAGGGGGUGACCACCAUUGAAACUGAAAGCUGAUUACAUUUCAGGAAAUAGAAAAUUCAAUCCCAUCACCAAAGAAGGCCCCUGCCAGGGAUUCUUCCAGCAGAGGGGCAGGCAAGGAGACCUAGUGCUAAUGUGGAGGUUUGUACUUCCCCAAAAGUCUGGUUGUUGGGAGCUUCAAUGAACUUACGUGUGAUGACACAAGGCCACAUGGGUUA